CUUUUGGAGCAAACAGAGAAAAACCAAAAGCCAUCAUGUCCAGGAUCAUCGGUGUGACUCUGCUGCUCAUCAUUCUGAUCGGCAGCUUCUGGGACAGCACAGCUUCUCCUGGAUAUCCUUUGACCAAAAUGGAAUUCCGCAGAUGCAGAUGCACAUAUAUGGCCAUUGGCAAAAAAAUGUGUCCGUCCCCAUAUUCACGGUUAAAUGACAGAGAGAUCAGAUGCCUCUGCAGCAGCAGAAAUCCAAACAAGAGUCAGUGGGUUCAGAAACUCUGCAGAGGCCGCAGGUCCCCACCAUUUCCAAUUCAUCCCAUCCUAAUGUAAACAGUAAAGCAUUUAUAUUGCAUAUCCAGAGAGGCCAGAAGUGAAAGACCUUGAACAUAGAUUCUAAAGUCACAGCAUGACGUUACAGGACAUGAACAGUACGCACCACAUUAUCCUUGUAAGACCAAUACUUGUAAAUUCUCUGACACUGUGAAUAAAUACAUUUUUAAAAGGA